UACGUAGGGUGCAAGCGUGUCCGGAAUUAUUGGGCGUAAAGAGCUCGUAGGCGGUCUGUCGCGUCUGCUGUGAAAACUCGGGGCUUAACCCCGGGCCUGCAGUGGGUACGGGCAGACUAGAGUGCGGUAGGGGAGACUGGAAUUCCUGGUGUAGCGGUGAAAUGCGCAGAUAUCAGGAGGAACACCGGUGGCGAAGGCGGGUCUCUGGGCCGUAACUGACGCUGAGGAGCGAAAGCGUGGGGGAGCGAACAGG
rnacentral:rRNA from 1 species